CGUGUAGUACGCGCAGCCGCUGACUGUUGGUGGGAAAAAAAAUGAAUAUGCAAACAUCCUCCAAGAAGGUUCACACCACAAUAAUAAGCAUCAACACAAAGCCUAUCGCCUAGCUAUAGCAGCCAAGCUAACCAUCGUAUCAAGCUAGCACAGCUACAGUAUUUGAGCAAUAUCUGAAUAUGGCAUGUAUAAAAACAGUCACGUCGCCGAUUACUAAUAAAAUAUGCUAAAUCGUAUUUGGAGACAGUGGUAUGAAUAUGUAGCGGCGUACAGCGGUCUAAUCACAAAGAAGGAGCGGGCACUCCGCACCACGCGCCUCAGGACAAGACAUGUGACUUGCUUUGCUCUCCGGAGCAGAGCGCCAUUGAAAGGAUUGAUAACUGGAGUGGCGUUAAGUGUUGAGGAGGACAAACUGAAAUGGAAGAUUCCUGGUGUCUGUGACGGCCGCCGUUUGCUGCGACUCAGACCCAGUGGAGAGCGUGGUGAAACACAGAAGAUACUGUCUGCUAAGUUUUGAUGCAAAGUCUUUACCUGACAACGUCAAGUUAGGAUUUGUCAGUUAUCCCGUGAGACUUUUUGUCCCGAAUCAAUUACAGUGUUUUCAUUUCAAGUUGUAUUAGUUGUAUGCAGGGGAUACACAGCAGGUCCGUUCUCGACCAUGCAACAUCUAUUGGUAGAUGGGUAUGAAUUUAAAAAAAACACAUUGAA